CCCCCGGAGACCCCCGGCUGAUGGGGGAAAGGGUGAGUGACACGGGCCCCAGGGCAGGCCCGGGGGUGGGGGGGCUGCCCUGGGGGCCCCUGGGGUCCGGUGGCGCCCGGCCCGGGGCGAGUCCCACGAUGACCGCACGUCCUGCUCCCCAGGGUGAAGACGGCCCCCCCGGAAACGGCACCGAGGGCUUCCCUGGCUUCCCCGGCUAUCCGGGCAAGCAGGGGGACUCCCGGGAUAAACGUGAGUACAGUCCAUCCACCCCCUCAGCUGCUGGAGCAGCAACGCGGUGCACCACAGCCACACACAACACUCAACACACCUCACUACACACACCCACACACACCACACACACACCCAACACACACUCACACCACACCACACACACACACACCCGUUCACACAGACGCGCGCACACACACACACACACAGCCCUUUGCUCCCACACCUGUGCAAGCACACACAUGCAGACGCACCACCCAGCCCUCGCCGUCUCCGUCCGGCCGCCCCUUGGACUGACCACCCCCUCUGGGAUUGGGCUCCCUGCUCUUCCCGGACCCUGAGCGGGUCACACUAACCCUGCUCCUGUGUCACCUGCAGGGCACUUAAAGGCUACCCCGGCCUCAAGGGGGACGAAGGAGAAGCCGGGGACCCGGAGAGGACGUAAGUGCAGAGCCCCCCGCAGGCUGGGAGCCCCACCCGCCGAGGAGGGAGGGCGGCUCCGAGGGCGGGCCGGGCGUCCAGGGGACGAGGGGACAGGCCCGCAGCAGGCGUUCAUGCCAGUGACACGGUGCUGGUGCCCCCAGAACAACGACGUCGCUCCCCGAGGCGCCAAAUGGAGCGAAGGGGUACCGAGGCCCUGAAGGCCCCCAGGUGAGUGCCGCAGGCGGGCACCCGACCUGAGCCUGCAGAGGGCUGGGGGGUGGGUUCGGGAGCAGGGCUCGGGGAAGGCUGGGAGGCGGGCUUGCGGCAGGUGGGAUGGGG
rnacentral:lncRNA from 9 species